GAUUUUAUGUCUCUUUGUAAUAUUGCAAGUAUGUUUUCUGAUCACUUAAUAUUUGUUAGUAUCUAUAUGGGACACUUCAAACAUUCAGAACUGGCUUUAUGUAGUUAAAUGUGUGACAAUUUUCUGAGGAUCAUGGAAUUUUAAUGUAGAGUACGUAUACAUCUUAGAACUGAUAACUUGCUGUUUAUUUUUAAAGAAGUAUUGAAUCUAACAAUACUUUUCUUUUGUUGUACAGUAGGUUUAGUUUACUGUGCUGAAUAUAUAAAUGAAUUAGCAGCUAUGAAUUGGAGGCUAUUUUCUAAAUACCAAUACUUUGAUUCAAGAGGAAUGUUUAUUUCACUAGUCUUUUCAGCACCACUUCUGGUGAAUACUAUCAUAAUUGUGGUCACCUGGGUUUACAGAACUUUGAAUGUAAUGACUGAACUGAAGACACUACAGCAGAGAAUUAAAGCAGAGAAAAAGAAGAAUUGAAAGUGUUGAAUAUUUUUAUUAUUAUUUGUAAAAAUACUGUUUCAUGUAAUGAGUCCUUCUUGUAUGUUUAUCCAAGAACAGCAAUGUUUUUUUGUGUCUGAUGUUGAGAGGACUUUGCACCCUUUGGCCAUGGACAAUGAGGUGAAAGCAGGGGUUCACAAUACAUCUCAACUUUGCUAUGAAAUCAGGACAGGCUGGUCUUAACAGGUCUUUCUGUGCUUUAGUAUAAGCUAUUUUUACCGUGACCAAGACAAUUAACACUGAUAACGGUACAAACUUCCAGUCAGUUUUCAUACACCUGUGUAUUUUUUUUAACUGUGUGUUAAAUACGUAUUUAUUAAGUAUCCAGUCUUCUACUUACGCCAAUUGAAGCUGUGCUAUGGAUUCUAGUAAAUGAGGGCUAAUAUUCAGAACACUUCAAGAACUCAUGCUUCUACAGAACAUUUUACUUUGUAGAUCAAGUUUCAUAUCUGAUGUAUGUAUUGUGUGGCAGUGAACAAUUCUGAUACAGGACCAUUUUAUAAAUAAAAUUAUCCAUUGUAUCUUGAAUACAGAUUGUUGGAUUGCAGUUGAUAUUUUUAAUUGUUUUUUUUUUUUUCCUUUUCUUUCUCAUACAAAUUGCUGGUUUGGUAAAAUCUUGUACUUAAUUUGUGUAAGUCAGUCAAAACCAUCUCUAAAUUGUUUCAAUUUAUAUUUUACACUUUAAUGCAGUUAGAUAAAUAUCCUUUCUUAAAUAUGAAUGAAAUUUUUAUAGUGUCUUUUGCUAGUUUGUGGAACAGAAGGGAAGGGGAGAAGCUUUAAGGUGUUCUACAAAAUUCUGUUCAUAUGUAUAUACACAUGUAUAAAAUGUUUGACUUUUUAAUAAAGAACUGGAAAUGACAAAUUGA